rnacentral:tRNA from 1 species
GGACAAUGGCUCAGUAAUAGAGCAUCUGCUUGAUAUGCAGAAGUUCUCAGGUUCAAUCCCUGGCAUCUCCA